rnacentral:sRNA from 1 species
CAGGAUGGAGUACAGAUAAGGAGCCUUUCUAAGGAGACCACCCGUUAUAAUCAUCCCAAGCCCAACUUGCUGUAUCAGAAGUUUGUGAAGAUGGCUACAUUGACUUCAGGUGGAGAGAAGCCAAACAAAGACUUGGAGAGCUGCAGUGAUGACGACAACCAGGGGCCCAAGUCCCCAAAGAUGUGAGACUUCAUUUUAGCUCUUGGGGAACGUGGGAAGAGAUGUCCUCAGAUGGCAAGAGAAAGGGCUAAAUCUAAUGCUUGACUGGGGGCUUCUUGGGGGUGGGUGGAACUGUGUUGUACUAAUCUUUGUAUCCCUAGUACCUCAAAAAGUGCCAGGUCCUGAACAAGAACUCAGUGUUGAAGGAAUGUUUUAGAAGGAGGAGAGGUCCAGCCUUUCCACCAGGUCUGUUUGUAACUGCUGAUCUCCCCUAACAGUCUGACUGAUGAGAUGCUGCUCCAAGCCUGUGAGGGGCGAACAGCACACAAGGCUGCCCGUCUUGGGAUCACAAUGAAGGCCAAGCUUGCUCGCCUAGAGGCCCAGGAGCAGGCCUUCCUGGCUCGUCUCAAAGGCCAGGACCCUGGGGCCCCUCAACUGCAGUCAGAGAGCAAGCCCCCCAAAAAAAAGAAAAAGAAAAGGAGGCAGAAAGAGGAGGAAGAAGCUACAGCAUCUGAAAGGAAUGAUGCAGAUGAGAAGCACCCAGAACAUGCUGAGCAGAACAUCAGAAAAAGCAAGAAGAA